GCAGACACAUUCCAGCCAAUCAGCAGCAGACCCUCCCUCCCAGCUCUUCCCAUCUCCUGGACAGCAUCCAUUUUGAAGCUGCAUUCUUAGUGAGCUGUCCAGAAGGUGGAAGGGUCUGGGAGGGAGGGUCUGCUGCUAAUUGGCUGGAAUGUGUCUG